rnacentral:rRNA from 1 species
AUACGGAGGGCGCGAGCGUUACCCGGAAUGACUGGGCUUAAAGGGUCCGUAGGCGGUGGGGUAAGUCGGGCGUGGAAGCCCUCUGCUUAACGGGGGGAGGACGUCCGAUACUGCCUCACUUGAGACCCGUUGGCGCGGGGGGAAUUCCCGGUGUAGCGGUGAAAUGCGUAGAAGUCGGGAGGAACGCCGAUCGCGAAGGCACCUCGCGAGGCGGGUUCUGACGCUGAGGGACGAAGGCCGGGGGAGCGAACCGGAUUAGAAACCCCAGUAGUCC